rnacentral:rRNA from 1 species
CUGACUUAAGCAUAUCCAUAGCCGAAGGAA